rnacentral:sRNA from 1 species
GCCAGGUGUGGUGGUACACACCUGUAAUCCCAGUGGCUUGGAGGCUGAGGUAGGAGGAUCAUGAGUUCAAAGUCAGCCUCAGGAAAAGUGAGGUGCUAACCAACUCAGUGAAACCCUGUCUGUA